UACGAAGGGGGCUAGCGUUGUUCGGAAUUACUGGGCGUAAAGGGCGCGUAGGCGGUGCAUCAAGUCAGGCGUGAAAGCCCCGGGCUCAACCUGGGAACCGCGCUUGAGACUGGUGCGCUCGAGUUCGGGAGAGGAUGGUGGAAUUCCCGAAGUAGAGGUGAAAUUCGUAGAUAUCGGGAGGAACACCGGUGGCGAAGGCGACCAUCUGGACGGAUACUGACGCUGAGACGCGAAAGCGUGGGUAGCAAACAGG
rnacentral:rRNA from 1 species